rfam:Robinsoniella sp. RHS robin_c134, whole genome shotgun sequence.
GAAAUCCCAUACGGCAAGGCGUAGCGAGCCACCGUUAGCGAGUCUUGGGUGCUGACUGGUAACAGGCAGGGCUAAGCGUAAGUGGCUGAAAUGCAAUCGUGCGAUGCCAUUGAAGGUAUUGAUGCCAGCACU